GCUUGCCAGGAGCUGGAGGGGGAGGUAGGCGGGGCGGCGCGUGACCUAAGGCCUCUCUGCCGCGCGCGCAGGUACGGGACCGAAGUCGCAGGUGCCCAGCUGCCGCCCACAUUUCUGGUCCAGAGUCCCGAACCCCGAGCACUGGGAUGCCUGGCUACUCCGAGCCAAGGCACUGAUGUUUGAACUGGAAACUUCAAAACUUUUAAUAAGAGUCUUCAGGAUGGGUUUGAACUAGACAAGCUAGAAAUUUCUUCAGAACACCAGCUCUAGCAUGCAUCUCCCACUUUUGGCUUUCCUGGAGAGGAGCUUGAAGAGGUGGUUCUGCAGACAGCCACAGUGACCCUCAGGAAACCAGAGGAAUGGAUUUGACUUUUCUGCUAGGAUUCUCUUUGUUAUCGUUUCUCCCUGAGUUGUAAGAGGCAUCGAAAUAUACAUGAAACUGAAGAACCUGCAAGGAAGGGAAGUGGCACUUUCCAUGCUGAGUGAAAACUAACCAAGUGGCAGUUGUGACUGAAAACACUGAAACCUACCACGUCCGGAUUCACUGGAUUGGGGGAUAGAGGAACGGUCACAGCUAGGGAGAAGGAAGUGAUACUGGAAAAGAAAACCUAAAUGAAGAGAAUGAGGAUGACUGCAAAGUAGAUGGCCACCUCUACCUCCACAGAGACAAAGUCAGCCUCGUGGUGGAAUUAUUUUUUUCUUUAUGAUGGUUCCAAGGUAAAGGAAGAAGGCGAUCCAACAAGAGCUGGCAUUUGUUACUUUUAUCCUUCCCAGACCCUGCUUGACCAACAGGAGUUGCUUUGUGGACAGAUUGCUGGAGUUGUCCGCUGUGUUUCUGACAUUUCUGACUCUCCUCCUACUCUUGUUCGUCUGAGAAAACUGAAGUUUGCCGUAAAAGUUGAUGGAGAUUACCUUUGGGUGCUGGGCUGUGCUGUGGAGCUCCCUGAUGUCAGCUGCAAGCGGUUUCUGGAUCAGCUAAUUGGAUUCUUUAAUUUUUACAAUGGACCUGUUUCCCUAGCUUAUGGGAAUUGUUCUCAGGAAGAACUGAGCACGGAGUGGGACACCUUCAUCGAACAAAUUCUGAAAAACACCAGUGAUCUGCAUAAGAUUUUCAAUUCCCUCUGGAACUUGGACCAAACUAAAGUGGAGCCCCUGUUGUUGCUGAAGGCAGCCCGCAUUCUGCAGACCUGCCAGCGCUCGCCUCACAUUCUUGCUGGCUGCAUCCUCUAUAAAGGACUGAUUGUCAGCACCCAGCUCCCGCCCUCCCUCACCGCCAAGGUCCUGCUUCACCGAACAGCACCUCAGGAGCAGAGACUCCCUACGGGAGGGGAUGCCCCGCAGGAACAUGGAGCGGCAUUGCCCCCGAAUGUCCAGAUUAUCCCUGUUUUUGUGACCAAAGAGGAAGCCAUUAGUCUCCACGAGUUCCCGGUGGAACAGAUGACAAGGUCUCUAGCAUCUCCAGCAGGACUCCAGGAUGGUUCAGCCCAGCACCAUCCAAAGGGUGGGCGCACAUCUGCCCUGAAAGAAAAUGCCACUGGCCAUGUGGAAUCCAUGGUCUGGACCACCCCAGAGCCCACAUCCCCUGACGAAGCUUGUCCAGAUGGCAGGAAGGAGAACAGAUGCUUGUCUGGCCAUGAUCUGGAGAGCAUCAGGCCCGCAGGACUGCACAACACUGCCAGGGGUGAGGUUCUUGGCCUCAGCUGCUCCCUGGGGAAGGAACUAGUCUUUCUCCAAGAAGAACUCGACUUGUCUGAAAUCCACAUUCCAGAGGCUCAGGAAGUGGAAACGGCCUCAGGUCAUUUUGCCUUCCUACAUGUGCCUGUUCCAGAUGGCAGGGCUCCUUACUGCAAGGCAUCUCUCAGCGCCUCCAGCAGCCUGGAACCCACGUCUCCUGAGGACACAGCCGUCAGCAGCCUGCGCCCUCCCUCUGCUCCUGAGGUGCUCACCCAGCAUGGAGCCCAAGAGCAGCUCGAAGACCAUCCUGGCCAUAGCAGCCAAGCCCCCAUUCCCAGAGCAGACCCUCUCCCCAGAAGGACCCGCAGGCCCUUGUUAUUGCCUCGCUUAGAUCCAGGGCAGAGAGGAAACAGGCUUCCCACGGGGGAACAAGGCCUGGAUCAGGAUGUUGAUGGGGCCUGUGAAAGCCACGCAGCCCCUGGUCUGGAACGCAGUUCAGGCUCAGCAAACUGUCAGGGUGCUGGCCCCUCUGCAGAUGGAAUCAGCUCCAGGCUGACACCAGCAGGGUCCUGCAUGGGGCUCAUGAGGAUGAAUCUCUACACUCACUGCAUCAAAGGGCUGGUGCUGUCCCUGCUAGCUGAGGAGCCACUGCUGGGAGACAGCGCAGCCAUAGAGGAAGUGUACCACAGCAGCCUGGCGUCGCUGAAUGGGCUGGAAGUCCACCUGAAAGAGACGCUGCCCAGGGAUGAGGCAGCCUCCACAAGCAGCACCUACAACUUCACACAUUACGACCGCAUUCAGAGCUUGCUGAUGGCAAACCUGCCGCAGGUGGCCACCCCGCAGGAUCGCCGCUUCCUCCAGGCCGUCAGCCUGAUGCAUAGCGAAUUUGCCCAGCUGCCCGCGCUUUAUGAAAUGACUGUCAGAAAUGCCUCCACGGCCGUGUACGCCUGUUGCAACCCCAUCCAGGAGACAUAUUUCCAGCAGCUGGCACCUGCAGCACGGAGCUCCGGCUUCCCAAACCCUCAGGAUGGCGCCUUCAGCCUCUCCGGCAAAGCCAAGCAGAAGCUGCUGAAGCACGGGGUGAACUUGCUCUGAACUGCACCCAGGAGGUGACUGGAAAGGAGAAAACCAGUAAAGGAAGCUCUGCCUUUUAUAACUGAAAAGGCCCCUCUAUUUUAUUUUUCUUGAAAACAUUCCCUUUUUUAGGAACAUAAUGAUAUUUGAGUUUUUGUUAUUCCUUUUGCAGAUUGGGAUGUGUUUUGGGGGCAGGGGUUAGUUCUUCAGGUCAGCAGACCCAGAGCACUUGAUAAAGAACUGUAUUUAAUCGGUGGUGUUGGGGCCGGGACGGGCUUGGCUCCCUCUCUGCCAUACUGAGCCUGAGGUAUUUCAUAUCUCCUGCUGCUGUUUCAUCCCAGCUUGAACUGGUGCCACAAGAUUCCAAGUUGGCAUUUUUUCUAGAACUUGAUCGUCCACUAGCCCAGAGUGUGUGUGUUCAACCCCCACACCAGGUGGUGGUAGGCGGUGUGACUGCACAUCGAGGUGCUGGAUCUGUGAGCAGGCCGACUCCACGCCCACGCCGCAGGAUCUCUGCUGUCUCUUGGAUCCCAUCUGCCUAGAUGGAAGAGGAUCCUAUUGGAAGCUAGGAUAAAUGUUGUCUUAGUCCUCUGCUAUGUUCUCCCAGAAAAAAUUCAUUACAAGUUCUCUGCUGUGGUUGCUGCAGCUCCAGGAAGCCCCCGCAAUGUCUCACGUUGUCUUUGACCAGUGGUCCCCAGUACCAGGCCAGAGAAGACAACUUUAUAAUGUCAUUUGUGUUGUGAAAAUUCUUCCACUGACCCAAAAUGGAACCGUACAAAGCCUAUCCGUGUAUAUGGAAAAGUCUCAUCCACUUGGAUUAACUCAGAAAAAGUAAAGUCCUGAAACUACUUUGCAGGUGUGCCCCUUUCUUUCCUCCUUUGAUCCUGCUUAGUUUCUGCAGUGGAGGUUCUGCUCAGAGCCCCAGGGCACUGGCAGCUGCAGCCGUCAUCUCUAAAGCUUGGUAACUGUGGCCCAGAGGCUGCAGAGAAGAAACACUUAGCCCGCUGUUUUCCCGUUUUUUAAUAUUUCAGAGGUUUCAGGGGGUCACUCAGGACACGGUUUAUCCCACAGCCCCAGGCCCAUCGCCUCAAAAUUAGCAUCCCCAGAGUACAGGCCCAGCGACGGACAGCCAAGCAGCGUGUUCUUGCUGGAAUGGGCACCACAACCUCUUAUGGCCACGUUUCCCAAGGGAAGGCAGUGUGCAGGACAGCCUGCCCACCCUGGACUCCUAGUUGACACCGAGUGCCACUGUCAGCGAUCCAGGACCACAGAUUCUAGUGACUCUUCAGGGCAGAAAAGCCUCUGUUUUGGCUCCGUCUGUGCCAGCCAUCUGCCACCUGUGAACUGUAAGGAUAAAGGUCGCAUGAGUGAUUAACAGUGGUCUGUUAGUCCGUUCUCAACGCUUCUAAUAAAGACAUACCCGAGACUGUGUACUUCAUAAAGGAAA